rnacentral:lncRNA from 1 species
GAGCCUCUGGGUGGAAUGAAUAAAAAAGUAAAUUUAGAGUAGUGGCCUGUGAAAGAUCCGUUGGCAUCUACGAGUUGGUACCAUGGGAGUGGAGCAAAGGAGAGUGGGCAUUAAUAGGUGAAAAGAAGAUAGAGUUGUUGGAAUGUCGUUGAAGUGGCUAUAAGAACUAGGAAAUACCAACCAGAAAUUCUGGAAUUAUACUUGGAACAUUACAAAUAAAUAUUGGAUGUCCUCUGGGAACUGGAGUGAG